CAGGCUGCAACUCGCCUGCAUGAAGUCGGAAUUGCUAGUAAUCGCAGAUCAGCAUGCUGUGGUGAAUACGUUCCCGGGCCUUGUACACACCGCCCGUCACACCAUGGGAGUCGGCAACACCCAAAGUUGGUAGUCUAACCGCAAGGAGGACGCCGCCUAAGGUGGGAUUGAUGACUGGGGUGAAGUCGUAACAAGGUAUC
rnacentral:rRNA from 1 species